AGGCAGGUGUUUGCUCAUGUUUUCAAUACAGAGGAAUCCAGCUCUGUGGGUGUUCUGUAGGACUCUGUCCCCGUGCAGGGAAACAAAUGUGUACAACUGAACGGCUGCCUGGUCAGUACUGCUGGCACACUUUCACCCAUUUGGAGAGCCCCCAUUUUACACUUCCGCUCUCCUUGUCUGACUCGAGCAAAAGGACAAGCCCCUGAAAGUCUUACCUAUUUAAAGCAAUUAGGCCCCCCUUUAAAAUUAAAAAAAAAAAAAAUUCACGUCCUCCGUUUCCUCCGAGAUAACAAGUUAAGGCAAAGGAAGAAGAAAAAAGAGAAAACGAAGGGAAAACAAAAAAAAGCAAAUGACCCCGACGUGAUUCGAACACGCAGCCUUCUGAUCUGGAGUCAGACGCGCUACCGUUGCGCCACGAGGUCCUGCUGGGCAGGGGCGCGCAGAGCCUUAGAACGCGCCCAUCACAGACCGCCAGCGGGACACGGGCCGGGCGGGCCUCGGGGGCCGGCGAAGACCCUUUCUCACCCACCUGUGGCGACCUCACAGGUAACAACCGCAGGGCCUCUGCGGCCCCUCUCCUCCGCCACUGCUUCCGUUCCCGCCGCAGCAAAUUUGAAACGUACAAGAGGACUCUGCAGAGCCAAAGCCAAGGAUCUGAAGAGACUCUAAAAGAAGAACAAGGGGUCUAAUGGCCACUGCAGUCCAAGGAGGACAUCUUGCAAAACUAUGAGGAGCUUAAGCAAGGUAUAUAGUUCUCAUGGCACUGAGAAUAUAAUUCUCAUGGCACUGGCAAUUCUAUACCAGAGCACUAAUACCUCUUCUGCAGUUCACCAUUUUAGGGAAGCACUAAGAUGAAUGUAAGUGUGAUGGCUACUCUGCACUGAUGGAGGAAUUUUGCAAGAAGAGAAGCAGAGCUGUUGACAACCAGGACCUCUUCAUUUCCCAGGUAUCCUCUGCAAGGCCCCAGGAUCAAGUGAGACAAAGUUUGCAACAGCCCACUUAAGAUGGUCUCUCCCUAUAUAUUCUUUGUUAUGUUUUUCCACAUUUUCAAUUUCUUAACGUAUCGCUAAGGGUGUUUUAUCAGAAAAGCAGCUUGGUAUUGACAGGCCCUGGCCAUACCUUAACCCCCUGUCCUGCUCCUGCAUGCCCACUCCAGCCUGUCAUACUUCCUUCCAUGCUGUCCUAGGAUUUUUGCCACAUAUCAGUGGUCUUGCUCACUCCAUGGCCUGGCACUUAUGUUGUAUUAGCUUAAGUUGUUGUAAACAUAUGCUGGUAAUUAAAAUAAAGCGCUGAUCACAGGCA
rnacentral:tRNA from 1 species